rnacentral:lncRNA from 1 species
GGGCUCAGCCAAGACAGCAGGCGACAGCCAGGGUCUUCAGGGCAAAAGUGACCUGGCCUUGUCACCUCUCACCCUCGGGGAUCAGUGUUUUCUCUCCAGGAUGGGCUCUGCGGGCACAGAACACCUGGGUUCAAAUCCCCAGCCAGGUGCCCUGGGCAAGAGUCCUCGCCUCUCUGAGCCUGGGGUUCCUCAUCUAAAACGUGGGGCGCAGUGGACAGUCUGCAUCCGCUAGCUAUUGCCAUAACAUCGAUGCUUGCGCUUAAAUCACAAAAACUCAUCGGCAUAAAAAAACCCAUUCUUCUCAUGCAUCUUUGGGGUUCCUCUGAUCUCACCCAGGCUCCACAGAUCUCCUCCCAUCCUCCUCCCCGGGGGGGCUAGCCCAGGCAUGUCCACUGGCAUGUGGUGAUUAAAACAGAUCUCACAGCCAAGCCGGGGAUGCAAAAUUACGCUUUGCCCACAGUGGGAGAACACCAUGAGGUUAUCUCGCAAAGGCACGGACAAAGGGAAGAGUGGGGAAUUGGGGCCGUGGACACAGUCUAGCACAGGUACCAACCUUGCAACUUUCCGCGGUAAGCGUCCCCCAUUCUCGGUCCCCGUGGGCUAGGGGAAGCCAAUGCCAUCCCCGGCGCCAGCUCUGCCUUUCCGAGGUCCUGAGCCUCAGGCUUUCUCUGUUACAGAGAUUGGCAAGUGAUGGAAGAAAGCCGCUGGGGUGCAGCUGGGCGUCGGGGGGAAAAAGCCCCGUAGCAAGCAGACCCUAGGGGGCCCGCCCAGGCAAGAGGGAUUCCUGGCUGGGGACACUCUUUCUCCAAGUGUCCCUCUGCUUUAGGACACUGCUGCUUCCCGCCGGCUGAAGCAGGAGACACGUGACCCUAUUCUGGCCAAUGAUACAAGAGGGGAGGUCAUUCGGGGAAAGGUUUCCUUCCUUAUAAAGAGAGAAAAAAGAACCACCAUCAUCAUUCUCUUCACUCCAACAUUAGUCUCCCCAACUAAUCCUACUCUUUCCACCAAUAUUACUUUCCACCAAUAUUACUCUCGCCCGCCAUUAUUCUUCCCACCUGCAUUACUCUCCCUCCACCAACAUUACUCUCCCCAACCAAUCUUACCCUUUCCACCAAUAUCACUCUCCCCCCAAUAUUACCUUCCACCAAUAUUACUCUUCCCACACCAUUACUCUCCCCCCACCAUUACUCUCGUCUGCCAUUAUUCUUCCCACCUGCAUUACUCUCCCUCCACCAACAUUACUCUCCCCAACCAAUCCUACUCUUUCCACCAAUUAUCACUCUCCCCCCAAUAUUACUUUCCACCAAUAUUACUCUUCCUACACCAUUACUCUUCCCCCACCAACAUUACUCUCAUCCGCCAUUAUUCUUCCCACCUGCAUUACUCUCCCUCCACCAACAUUACUCUCCCCCCACCAUUACUCUCCCCAACCAAUCCUACUCUUUCCACCAAUAUCACUCUCCCCCCAAUAUUACUUUCCACCAAUAUUACUCUUCCCACACCAUUACUCUCCCCCCACCAACAUUACUCUUCCCCCACCAACAUUACUCUCAUCCGCCAUUAUUCUUCCCACCUGCAUUACUCUCCCUCCACCAACAUUACUCUCCCCAACCAAUCCUACUCUUUCCACCAAUAUCACUCUCCCCCCAAUAUUACUUUCCACCAAUAUUACUCUUCCUACACCAUUACUCUUCCCCCACCAACAUUACUCUCCCCCCACCAACAUUACUCUCAUCCGCCAUUAUUCUUCCCACCUGCAUUACUCUCCCUCCACCAACAUUACUCUCCCCCCACCAUUACUCUCCCCAACCAAUCCUACUCUUUCCACCAAUAUCACUCUCCCCCCAAUAUUACUUUCCACCAAUAUUACUUUCCACCAAUAUCACUCUCCCCCCAAUAUUACGUUCCACCAAUAUUACUCUUCCCACACCAUUACUCUCCCCCCACCAACAUUACUCUCCCCCCACCAACAUUACUCUCAUCCGCCAUUAUUCUUCCCACCUGCAUUACUCUCCCUCCACCAACAUUACUCUCCCCCCACCAACAUUACUCUCCCCAACCAAUCUUACUCUCCCCCCAAUAUUACGUUCCACCAAUAUUUCUCUCCCCACACCAUUACUCUUCCCCCACCAACAUUACUCUCCCCCCACCAACAUUACUCUCCCCAACCAAUCUUACUCUUUCCACCAAUCUUACUCUUCCUACACCAUUACUCUCCCCCCACCAACAUUACUCUCCCCCCAAUAUUACGUUCCACCAAUAUUACUCUUCCUACACCAUUACUUUCCCCUCACCAACAUUACUCUCCCCUGCCGGCAUUGCUCUAUCGCACCAUUAUUCCUUCCUGCCAACAUGA